AUUGAACGCUGGCGGCAGGCCUAACACAUGCAAGUCGAACGGUAACAGAAAGCAGCUUGCUGCUUUGCUGACGAGUGGCGGACGGGUGAGUAAUGUCUGGGAAACUGCCUGAUGGAGGGGGAUAACUACUGGAAACGGUAGCUAAUACCGCAUAACGUCGCAAGACCAAAGAGGGGGACCUUAGGGCCUCUUGCCAUCGGAUGUGCCCAGAUGGGAUUAGCUAGUAGGUGGGGUAACGGCUCACCUAGGCGACGAUCCCUAGCUGGUCUGAGAGGAUGACCAGCCACACUGGAACUGAGACACGGUCCAGACUCCUACGGGAGGCAGCAGUGGGGAAUAUUGCACAAUGGGCGCAAGCCUGAUGCAGCCAUGCCGCGUGUAUGAAGAAGGCCUUCGGGUUGUAAAGUACUUUCAGCGGGGAGGAAGGGAGUAAAGUUAAUACCUUUGCUCAUUGACGUUACCCGCAGAAGAAGCACCGGCUAACUCCGUGCCAGCAGCCGCGGUAAUACGGAGGGUGCAAGCGUUAAUCGGAAUUACUGGGCGUAAAGCGCACGCAGGCGGUUUGUUAAGUCAGAUGUGAAAUCCCCGGGCUCAACCUGGGAACUGCAUCUGAUACUGGCAGGCUUGAGUCUCGUAGAGGGGGGUAGAAUUCCAGGUGUAGCGGUGAAAUGCGUAGAGAUCUGGAGGAAUACCGGUGGCGAAGGC
rnacentral:rRNA from 1 species